rnacentral:miRNA from 1 species
CACAUAGGGUCUAAAGCCAUUG